UACGGAGGGUGCGAGCGUUAUUCGGAAUCACUGGGCGUAAAGGGCGCGUAGGCGGCCUGGUAAGUCAGGGGUGAAAUCCCACGGCUCAACCGUGGAAUUGCGCUUGUGACUGGCGGGCUCGAGUACGGUAGAGGGGGGUGGAAUUCCUGGUGUAGCAGUGAAAUGCGUAGAGAUCAGGAGGAACACCGAUGGCGAAGGCAGCCCCCUGGGCCUGUACUGACGCUCAUGCACGAAAGCGUGGGGAGCAAACAGG
rnacentral:rRNA from 1 species